rnacentral:rRNA from 1 species
UACGGGGGGGGGCAAGCGUUGUUCGGAAUUACUGGGCGUAAAGGGCUCGUAGGCGGCCAACUAAGUCAGACGUGAAAUCCCUCGGCUUAACCUGGGAACUGCAUCCGAUACUGGUUGGCUUGAAUCCGGGAGAGGGAUGCGGAAUUCCAGGUGUAGCGGUGAAAUGCGUAGAUAUCUGGAGGAACACCGGUGGCGAAGGCGGCAUCCUGGACCGGCAUUGACGCUGAGUGAGCGAAAGCCAGGGGAGCAAACGGG